rnacentral:rRNA from 1 species
UGCAGUCGAACGGUAAGAAGAGUAGCAAUACUUUUCCUAGAGUGACGUACGGGUGCGUAACACGUAUGCAACCUACCUUGUACAGGAGUAUAGCUCGGGGAAACUCGAAUUAACCCUCCAUAAGAUCAUAGAGUAGCAUUACUUAGUGAUUAAAACUCAGGUGGUACAAGAUGGGCAUGCGUCUGAUUAGUUAGUUGGCGGGGUAACGGCCCACCAAGACGAUGAUCAGUAGGGGAACUGAGAGGUUGAUCUCCCACACUGGCACUGAGAUACGGGCCAGACUCCUACGGGAGGCAGCAGUAGGGAAUAUUGGUCAAUGGAUGCAAGUCUGAACCAGCCAUGCCGCGUGCAGGAAGAAGGCCUUCUGGGUUGUAAACUGCUUUUGCCAGGGGAUAAAAUUUCCAUGCGUGGAAAAUUGAAGGUACCUGGUGAAUAAGCCACGGCUAACUACGUGCCAGCAGCCGCGGUAAUACGUAGGUGGCAAGCGUUGUCCGGAUUUAUUGGGUUUAAAGGGUGCGUAGGCGGUCUAUUAAGUCAGUGGUGAAAUACUCCAGCUCAACUGGAGGGGUGCCAUUGAUACUGAUGGACUUGAGUCAAGUCGAGGUAGGCGGAAUUGACGGUGUAGCGGUGAAAUGCUUAGAUAUCGUCGAGAACACCAAUAGUGAAGACAGCUUACUAGGCUUAAACUGACGCUGAGGCACGAAAGUGUGGGGAUCAAACAGGAUUAGAUACCCUGGUAGUCCACACUGUAAACGUUGAUUACUCGCUGUUGGCGAUACACAGCCAGCGGCCAAGCGCAAGCGAUAAGUAAUCCACCUGGGGAGUACGCCGGCAACGGUGAAACUCAAAGGA